UAUAGCAACCGUAAUAUUGCAGCACGCACAGUGUAAAAAUUAGUCCACCAACUCAUUCACUUUCUAUUUCUUCUUCUAAAGGCGCAGUCGCCGCAGGACCACAGCGGGUUAUAGAUCCGAUGAGGACGAUUGAUCAACUUGGCUUACCCGUUAAUAACAACGAAGAAGCUCCGCCUAUGCCGUGAAGUGUCAGUCCUACAGGCGACUAUUAAAUAAAGGCGGCACUGAAUUUUGCACA